AUUAACGCUAGCGGCAGGCAUAAUACAUGCAAGUUGAACGGCAGCACAGGUAGCAAUACUGGGUGGCGAGUGGCGCACGGGUGCGUAACACGUAUGCAACCUACCCUAUACAGGCGAAUAACCUUUAGAAAUGAGGGCUAAUACGCCGUAGUAUUACAGAUGGGCAUCUAUUUGUAAUUAAAGAUUUAUCGGUAUAGGAUGGGCAUGCGUCCCAUUAGUUAGUUGGUAAGGUAACGGCUUACCAAGGCGACGAUGGGUAGCCG
rnacentral:rRNA from 1 species